rnacentral:rRNA from 1 species
CACGUAGGGUGCGAGCGUUGUCCGGAAUUAUUGGGCGUAAAGAGCUCGUAGGCGGUGUGUCGCGUCGGCCGUGAAAACCUGCAGCUUAACUGUGGGCUUGCGGUCGAUACGGGCAUCACUGGAGUUCGGCAGGGGAGACUGGAAUUCCUGGUGUAGCGGUGAAAUGCGCAGAUAUCAGGAAGAACACCCGUGGCGAAAGCGGUUCUCUGGAACGGUACUGACGCUGAGGCGCGAAAGCGUGGGGAGCAAACAGG